CAGAUCUGCUCCCUGGACAGCGCUGCCAUUGAGAGCCGGUACCAGCUGGACCAGAACGGGUCUCUGGACUUCAGGACCCCCAUGUUCUCCUACACGCUGCAUUUCUCAGGGAUGUGCCAGUUCAACAACGACCUCGGGACGACGAGGGCGGUGAGGAGGAUCCCCGACACCCGGAUACAACCGGUAAACAGCGGUCCGAGGUGGCAGUUCCUCGACGUCGGAGGAAGUUGGACGGAUUUCUCUAAAGUAA